UACGGGGGGGGCAAGCGUUGUUCGGAAUUACUGGGCGUAAAGGGUUCGUAGGCGGCGUGCUAAGUCAGACGUGAAAUCCCUCAGCUUAACUGGGGAACUGUGUCUGAGACUGGCAGGCUCGAGUGCAGGAGAGGAACGCGGAAUUCCAGGUGUAGCGGUGAAAUGCGUAGAUAUCUGGAGGAACACCGGUGGCGAAGGCGGCGUUCUGGACUGCAACUGACGCUGAGGCGCGAAAGCUAGGGGAGCAAACAGG
rnacentral:rRNA from 1 species